GUGGAUAAGGCUUUGGCUU
rnacentral:miRNA from 1 species